AACGAACGCUGGCGGCAUGCCUAACACAUGCAAGUCGAACGAGACCUUCGGGUCUAGUGGCGCACGGGUGCGUAACGCGUGGGAACCUGCCCUCAGGUUCGGAAUACCUCCCCGACAGGGGUGCUAAUACCGGAUAAUGUCUUCGGACCAAAGAUUUAUCGCCUUUGGAUGGGCCCGAGUUGGAUUAGCUAGUUGGUAGGGUAAAAGCCUACCAAGGCGACGAUCCAUAGCUGGUUUGAGAGGAUGAGCAGCCACUCUGGGAGUGAGACACGGCCCAGACUCCUACGGGAGGCAGGAGAGGGGGAUAGAGCACAAUGGGCGAAGGCCUGAUCCAGUACGGCCGGGUGAGUGAUGAAGGCCGUAGGGAAGUAAAGCUCUUUUACCCGGGAUGAUAAUGACGGUACCGGGAGAAUAAGCUCCGGCUAACUACGUG
rnacentral:rRNA from 1 species